GAUGAACGCUGGCGGCGUGCCUAAUACAUGCAAGUCGAGCGAACAGACGAGGAGCUUGCUCCUCUGACGUUAGCGGCGGACGGGUGAGUAACACGUGGAUAACCUACCUAUAAGACUGGGAUAACUUCGGGAAACCGGAGCUAAUACCGGAUAAUAUAUUGAACCGCAUGGUUCAAUAGUGAAAGACGGUUUUGCUGUCACUUAUAGAUGGAUCCGCGCCGCAUUAGCUAGUUGGUAAGGUAACGGCUUACCAAGGCAACGAUGCGUAGCCGACCUGAGAGGGUGAUCGGCCACACUGGAACUGAGACACGGUCCAGACUCCUACGGGAGGCAGCAGUAGGGAAUCUUCCGCAAUGGGCGAAAGCCUGGCGGAGCAACGCCGCGUGAGUGAUGAAGGUCUUCGGAUCGUAAAACUCUGUUAUUAGGGAAGAACAAAUGUGUAAGUAACUAUGCACGUCUUGACGGUACCUAAUCAGAAAGCCACGGCCAACUACGUG
rnacentral:rRNA from 1 species